rnacentral:rRNA from 1 species
CCUACGGGUGGCUGCAGUGGGGAAUUUUGGACAAUGGGGGAAACCCUGAUCCAGCGACGCCGCGUGAAGGAUGAAGGCCUUCGGGUUGUAAACUUCUUUUGGAGGGGACGAAUAAAUUGACGGUACCCUCAGAAAAAGCCACGGCUAACUACGUGCCAGCAGCCGCGGUAAUACGUAGGUGGCGAGCGUUACUCGGAAUUACUAGGCGUAAAGCGUAUGUAGGCGGUUGUAUAAGUCUAUGGUGAAAUUUCCUGGCUCAACUGGGAAGGGACAUAGAUACUGUAUAGCUUGAGUGUUGGAGGGGGAGACGGAAUUCCUGGUGUAGCGGUGAAAUGCGUAGAUAUCAGGAGGAACACCGAUGGCGAAAGCAGUCUCCUGGCCAAAUACUGACGCUGAGGUACGAAAGCUAGGGUAGCAAACAGGCUUAGAUACCCCAGUAGUC